rnacentral:lncRNA from 1 species
GCAGCUGCCAUCGCGCGUCGCGCCCUCCGCGCCGCGCCGCCGCCUCCUCUCCGGCGCCCUCUCCCCCGAAAGGACGCCGCUGCCUGGCGGCGGCUCGCCCCUCCUCGGCGCCUCCGUGGCCGCGCCGCUCGUCCGAGGCAGGGUGUAGAGUACAAGGGGUGGGGACGCCAGGUUGAGCGGGAAGGGACAGCGCUUCCUUCUCUUGGCCCGCAGACAAGUCGGCUCGCAAACCUGCGCCGCCGUGCAGCUCAAGGGCGCCGCGCUCGGUGUGCGGUGCGCCCUGGCCACCCGGAGCGCGGCCCCGGCUCCUUCCGUGCCGGGCGCUGGGAGAGGUCGGGGAGGGUGCCCGCUGGGUGGGGAGCUACCUGGCCAGCACCUCUCGGGCGGGCAGGCUCCCCAGGCUGCGUCCCGGAACAGCAGCAGCCGCAGCCGAAAAGACCCGCCUCCCUCCUCGGCGGCAGGUCCCCUUCAUCUGCCCUAUUUCCUCCUCCUCCUCCUCCUCCCUUGGCCUCGUUUCUCGCCCGAGCGCGCCGCGGCCGCUUCGUCCCAGCGCCAGCCUCGCCGCUGGAGUCUCGCCGCUUCUCGCAGCCGCUCGCCCUGGGGGCCACCGGCUUCUGCCGCCCACUCGUCGCGGCACCGAGAGUCAGGGCCCGCCCCGGGGGAGGGCCCUGCUGGGAAGCUCCGGCCGGGACGAAACCGGCCGCGCCGCGGCUCCCGGACCUCGGCCGGGCCCCGAGCGCGGCGCGGGGCCGGGGUUCUCCGCCGUCACCCACCGGGCUCUCACCUAAGAAGACCCGGAGUCAGCCGAAGACCCGGAGUCAGCCAAAGUCCGGAGCGCACGCGACGGCAGCUUGGCGGAAGAAAAAAAAAAAAAAAAAGUCUCUCCUGAGAACGCUCGGGGCUUGGGAGCUAUCCGGAAGGCUUUUGCAGCGGUUCCUGCGGCCAGGGCGCCCCCCUCCGGCGCCUGCCGGGCUUGCCCUACGCGCCGUCUGGUACAGAGCGGCGCCGAAGCUCGGGCGCAGCGCGGGCCGGCCCGCGUUGCGCAAAGCGGGAGGAUUUCCACUAGCACCUCGCACCCGGGGCCUAAACUGGACGGCGAUCGAUUCCCGACAGUGGCGCUCCGGGAGUGGCUGA